rnacentral:rRNA from 1 species
GGCCCUACGGGGGGCAGCAGUGGGGAAUAUUGCACGAUGGGGGAAACCCUGAUGCAGCAACGCCGCGUGAGUGAAGAAGUAUUUCGGUAUGUAAAGCUCUAUCAGCAGGGAAGAAGAUGACGGUACCUGAUUAAGAAGCCCCGGCUAACUACGUGCCAGCAGCCGCGGUAAUACGUAGGGGGCAAGCGUUAUCCGGAUUUACUGGGUGUAAAGGGAGCGUAGACGGUGAUGCAAGUCAGAAGUGAAAGCCCGGGGCUCAACUCCGGGACUGCUUUUGAAACUGUGUAACU